rnacentral:lncRNA from 1 species
GUUGCAUAGCUUGAUAUGAUACUUUCAGCUCUUGUGUACAUAAACCAACUAAUCUUUCAGACUUUCUCUCUGAACCUUUCCCAACUCUUUUUUUUCACUUUUUUGCACUUUCUUUUCUAUAUUUUUUGACACACUUUUUUUAUAGAACUAAACACAGGGAUCCGAUUAUGACACUUGCACAACUAAAGAUAGAAAUAAAACAACAACCAGUAGCUAGAUAGGAUCAAAGUUAACACAAAGGAUGAUAUAGGCUAUAGAUAUUUUUUGUGAGGAUUUUUAGAUAUAAAAGAUGCACAAAGAACACGCGAAGGAUAAAUGAACAGCAACUAAAACAAAGACUCUAAUAGACUGUGACUUAACCGAAGUCACUAAAAUAACAGAUUGAAACAAAGGUAUAAGCAAUAUAUUUUUCUAGCUUUUUGGUGGAUAGAACGAUGCAAAAUAUAUAUGUAGCUAGGGAUAAAUUUUCUACCGUGGUAACGAAAGCUUUGAUACCAGAUGAUGCGACACGUUGUCCUGAUAUUCA